GUGCUAAGCCAGGCAUGGAGCAUCCAUAUCACCCUUUCCUCCCCAGGCCUGAGGGACCAUAUCUUGGAAGCGGGGAAGGGUGGUGAGGAUAGGAAGAGUGUAAGAGUCAGAGGGUGGGGAUGAGCAGCGUGAAGCCGUGCUUGCUGGUUGUUCAUUCCAAACAGUUCACGUCGGAACUGUUCGUUCAGGAACACACAGCUGUCUGCACAGAACCUGUACGUGAGCUUCCACCCCGAGCUAAGGAGUUGCUGCGACGUGUGGGAAUUUUGGAGGACAGCUGAUUUUUGUUUUGUAAAGGGUGUGGUCUCUGAAACUCAUUGCGGGGUGUGCUGAUUAGGUUUGCACUGCUGUGACAAAGCUCCAGGGUCAAGAUCAACGUGGGAGAAGAGGGUCUAACUCAUCUCACAACUCUCAAACCACACUCCAUCACCGAGGAACCUCAGGACAGGAACCCAACCACACUCCAUCACCGAGGAACCUCAGGACAGGAACCCAACCACACUCCAUCACCGAGGAACCUCAGGACAGGAACCCAACCACACUCCAUCACCGAGGAACCUCAGGACAGGAACCCAACCACACUCCAUCACCGAGGAACCUCAGGACAGGAACCCAACCACACUCCAUCACCGAGGAACCUCAGGACAGGAACCCAACCACACUCCAUCACCGAGGAACCUCAGGACAGGAACCCAACCACACUCCAUCACCGAGGAACCUCAGGACAGGAACCCAACCACACUCCAUCACCGAGGAACCUCAGGACAGGAACCCAACCACACUCCAUCACCGAGGAACCUCAGGACAGGAACCCAACCACACUCCAUCACCGAGGAACCUCAGGACAGGAACCCAACCACACUCCAUCACCGAGGAACCUCAGGACAGGAACCCAACCACACUCCAUCACCGAGGAACCUCAGGACAGGAACCCAACCACACUCCAUCACCGAGGAACCUCAGGACAGGAACCCAACCACACUCCAUCACCGAGGAACCUCAGGACAGGAACCCAACCACACUCCAUCACCGAGGAACCUCAGGACAGGAACCCAACCACACUCCAUCACCGAGGAACCUCAGGACAGGAACCCAACCACACUCCAUCACCGAGGAACCUCAGGACAG